GAGUUUGAUCCUGGCUCAGAUUGAACGCUGGCGGCAGGCCUAACACAUGCAAGUCGAGCGGUAGAGAGAAGCUUGCUUCUCUUGAGAGCGGCGGACGGGUGAGUAAUGCCUAGGAAUCUGCCUGGUAGUGGGGGAUAACGCUCGGAAACGGACGCUAAUACCGCAUACGUCCUACGGGAGAAAGCAGGGGACCUUCGGGCCUUGCGCUAUCAGAUGAGCCUAGGUCGGAUUAGCUAGUUGGUGAGGUAAUGGCUCACCAAGGCGACGAUCCGUAACUGGUCUGAGAGGAUGAUCAGUCACACUGGAACUGAGACACGGUCCAGACUCCUACGGGAGGCAGCAGUGGGGAAUAUUGGACAAUGGGCGAAAGCCUGAUCCAGCCAUGCCGCGUGUGUGAAGAAGGUCUUCGGAUUGUAAAGCACUUUAAAGUUGGAGGAAGGGCAGUAAAUUAAUAACUUUGCUGUUUUGACGUUACCGACAGAAUAAGCACCGGCUAAACUCUGUGCCAGCA
rnacentral:rRNA from 1 species